GUGACUCUUGAAAGAAACAAAUAAUUGAAAAAUGAAAACCAAAAACUAAAUUAUUUUUAAAAAGUAACUAAAGGUAUAAAAUUAGAUAACUGGAAACCUCAAAACAAGUGAAAACAAAGAAAUUAAAACAAAAAAUAACUGAAAAUAACUGAAAUAAUUAAAAAAUUUAGAAAUCUAUAUGCGAACAUCCCAGACCGCCUCGGCCUAACAAUAGCACAUGUGCAUUCCCUGGCCUGGCUGAGUGGGUCCCAGCCCAGCCGCAGGGGACUUUGGCAGGUUGAAGGCAGGUUUUGAUUGUCACAGUUUGGGGGUGGGAAGGCGGACAUGGCGUGGUUUGUUACUGAUAUCUUGUGGUAGAGGCCCGGGCUGCUGCCACACGUCUGAGCCUCCACAGUGCACAUCUGGCCCUCCAAGGUCAGGAGCUACAAGCCCGUGGGCUGUCCUGGGGGCUCCCCGGGCCCUUCCUGGGGCUGCACAUCCACGGCUGCUGAGCUGUGGGCUGUUUUCCGCUUGAGGAAGGAGGGCGCGAUUGCAGCACCACGGCAGCCUGGCCCUAGGAGGCGGAUGGCAGGGCAGCCUGGCCAGGCUGGAGCGAUGGUGGUGACAAGGGUCAGUUCUCAGGAGAGGGGACGCUGGGACUUGAGGGCCUCGUCAGCACUGUGGGGGGCUGGAUGCCCGCUUGCUCCUCCUCGGCGCUGCUCGGUGCCCUGAAACGCCAGGAAGAAGGUCAGAGAAGGCCAGGCUAGCAGCCAGCUGCUUUCCUUCUCCUGCGUGCUCACCUUUCCCCCUCAGCACGUUCUUUCUCUCCCUCGGUGCUUCCUCUCCCGGUCUCCAGGGACACAGCUCUGGAGCAACCCGUUUCAGGGCUGUCAUCCAACUGGAAAAGUCCCGAGAGCUGGCGGCGGGGGGGGGGCGCAGCUCAGAGCCGGCCGGGUCCGGGUCCGCCUGGCCAGGCCUCCCGGGGACCCCAGCCCCACCCGACCAGAAGCCAGCGCGUGGCCAAGGUCUUCCGCGCCUUCGCCGCCUUCCCGGGUGGCCGCGGGGAGGAACUCGGGCCUGGAGGCGCCUUGGGAGAGAAGGGGCCGGGUCGGGCCUGGGCGAGGAGGACGGUCCCCGGCCGCGGGCAGCGUCCCGGGCAGCGUGGUCCCGCUAACCUCACCCGGGCAGCGCCUGCCUCGGGAUCCUCCCGUUUGCUCUGGGCCAGGGGGACCCCGGAUUAGAGGACUCCCGGAAGAUAAGGCUGCGGCCCGGGCCUGCACCGGCUGGGACAGCGCAGGAAGUGACAGACCUGAUGGAUCCCCGCCACCCCGCAGGGUAGAUUUUUCUCUAUUCCUUACAACCUGUGAAGGGCUGUCUCUAUCACGCGAAAUGAAGUGCAUCCGUUUCACCUGGAGAGUUGGGGUGGAGAGCACCCUAAAGCAGUUCCUGGGCUGUCCACCUCCUCUUCCCUGGGAGGAGCGGGUCGCCUAGGAGCUGAUGACCGUCUGCUAACAGCGAUCCAGGCCCAGGCCCAGGAGAUUCACCUCCAUGAGAAGACCGUGCGGUAUAACCAACAGUGUGUAAAUUAGGUGACAAAAGGGCUUAAGAAGCCCAAAGAGGCGCAGUCACGCCUUCAGAGACAAAGCUGGACUCGGGCCUGGGCCUGUGAGACCCGAGUCUGAGCAGAACCCUUGAGCCUUGCUGCAGACCCAGUCCCUCUGCACUGCGGCCACUUCUGCCAGCCCCGGGCUCACUCCGGGGGCCCUGCCAGCGCGUGCCGGGGCUUGGGGCUGCAGGAGAAGCUUUUGUCUGGGGGUCCAAGAGUAUCAGCUUGGAUGCUGAGGCUGGUCUACACCUGACAGUGUCUUUUAUUUGCAACUAUCUUGGCUAAGAGAAGCAGGUCAUUCUCAGGCAUUCAAUUCAUUGCAUUCAGAUUCCACAUCUUCUCAGAACACAGAACACUUCUUUUUUUUUUUUUUUUCUUCUCCCCUCCAGUGAAUUUUCCUUGUCAAAGUCCUCACCCGCUUCCAAGGCAGUCUGAGUUUGUGGAUUUAGUUAUUUAUUUAAUUUUUUAAAAAAGAAAUCUUUGUUUUUUUGUUUUUUAAAGAAAUCUUUAUUUUAUUUUAUUUAUUUUUGGUAGUGGGGAUCAAACUCGGGACCUUGAGCUUGCGAGGGAGGCAGGCGGUGGAACCACUGAGCUAAAUCCCCGGCUUAAUUUGGGUUUUUUGAGGCAGGGUCUUGUUAUGUAGCCCAGGCUGGCCUCGAAUUUGUGGUGAUCCUCCUGCCUCAACCUCCUGAGUGCUGGAUUACAGGUGUGUGCCACCACACCCAGCCAGAAUUUGCUGAUUUAGGGUUUCAGAGCUGCUGUGAGUUGGGGACAAAGAAACUUCACAACUGGGAAAAUACUUCCUAGUUCAACCCCAGCUGCCUUCAAAUGUUCUGGGUUGGAAUGGGCACGAAGGUAGAUGGGGUAGAGGAUAAGCCAAUAUGUCCAGUGGGGUUCAGUCUAAGUCUUAUCCAUUUCAUCAGAUUUAUGGAAAAUUGUCAAUAAGACUAAAAUACAAAGCCACCCAAACUUCAGUGUGGUCCCAGUGUUAUUCCCCCCCCCCAAAUAAUGCAUAUCUAUAAACACAGUCUGAGAGAAGACUAUUAAAAUGGUUUUAUCUGGU
ensembl:lncRNA